CAGUAGUUCAGUUGGUAGAGCAUCGGUCUCCAAAACCGAGUGUCGCGGGUUCGAGUCCUGCCUG
rnacentral:tRNA from 1 species